UGGAUUUGGAAUAGCGAUUUGUAUAUCCACGUAAUCUCACCAAUCAUUUCCCCCAUCUAAUUAAUUUAUUCCAUUAAAUAAAAAACAACAACAAAUAAUGCAUCACCCUUGCCCUUGUUUGGUCCUUUUCUAUUUAAAAGCCCCUCUGUAAAUUAUCAUAAACAUUUCUCUUCUUUUUCAUCAAAUAUCUGCAACAUAACACACACAUAAAAUAGUCAUAAGUUGCUCUUAAUUAGAUUGAAGAAAAGCAAAAUUAAGGAUGUUUGAAUUCUUUGUGCUAGGGUGUACUGCUGUUGUCAUGUUCCUUCAUGGAGCCAAUUUCUUCUUCCACGCUCUCUCUCAACAUAUGGUCAUUCGUUCUCUCAGCUUCUUAGGAUUUGUUGGUUGGUAAAGAAAUGUCGAGAAUGAUGAUGAUACGCUAAAGGAAGCUUGCACCAACAGCAAUGCUUUUUGUAAAUAUUUGAUUUUUCUUUUUCUUUACGCUUUAAGGUAGAUGUUACUUACUCAAUAUAUAUUCUUGUGUAGGAAAUGAAAGAGAAUACCUAUGAUGCUAAAAUAUGAUCCUGUUAAUUAUAAUCAUUGAAAGGUUUUUGCUUUAUUUGAAGUGAUACAGCAACCUUUCAACUCUUUUUAAAAAAUUAUAUCAAAGACAGGUAGCUUGAUAACAAGUUUUUUUUACAAAAUAUGUCAUUUCAUUUACGUGAUGGAACUAUUCAUAAAAUUUUAACAUAAUUCGGAAAAGUACAACGUGCAAAUUGAUUUAAAAAAAAAAUAUGUUAUUGUAAUUUGUAGCAGGAUAAAUCCUCGAAUCAAUGUAAGUACUUGGCCUUCUCUCUUUCACUUUUUACUCUUUGGCACAUAUGACAUAAGUAUGGUUGUCGUGGAAUGGUAAUCUUUCUUUCAGCCU